UGAUUCAGGAAACGACUUAAGCUUAAGUGGCUGUCUGAUUGCAGCAUUUAGUAUUUUAAUGAGGAAAUUAAGAGGGAAACUCGUUUCCGUACUUCUGCUUUUGUGCUGCACUUAAUUGUCUCGUGAACUUUUCAGCCCAACGUUCUUUAUUCAAGCGAUCGGGAGUAAAAUCCCCUGUUUAGUUGCCGUGAAAUAAUAAAUCCAAUAAUACACACAUUAGCUGCACCACAUUUGCCGCUUAACAGGGGCUCAGCUAAAAAACGAAGACAGAUUCCCCAGUUUUUUCCCUUUUUGUCUGUUUUGCUGCAGUUCGUUAAGCCACUCAACGAAAAGACUAAUCCACUUAUUGGUGGUUGUACCGAAGAAUUUAUUUAUCUGGCCAACACCCACGGACACGGUCACUCUAAAUCCCAUAAAGAUUAUAGGAGAAAGUAUGGAAACAGACGGUUUACUUGUGGUAUAUCUAAGUGACGGGAUUUAAUGCCAAUUUUCAAUGGCGGCAAUCAAAACAUAAUAUUUACCAAACAAAUACGCAGCGUUGCAAUAUGUUUGCACCUCUCCAGAGAUUUUACCUUCCAAUUAGUUGCUGAAAAUGGAUGCACCAAAUUGUCAUAUCGAUGGCCAUAUGUGAGUAUUUGAUGGCUGAUGACUCACACAGCCCCCGGCUGCCAGUCCCCCUCCCCGAACUCUGCAUUAAUUACAAUCCCCCCAAUCGCCUGUGGGGAAAUCAGCAGCGCAUAUUGUCGCAGGAAAAAGUAAUGAAACCCACGGAAGAAAGGAAACCGAAAUUGAAUUUCGAGAGCAGUGGUCGCAAAAAUGCUUUUAACGCGAGCCAAAUGCGUUGAAGAUACGAUAUGAGUGGCCAAAGGGAAAUGGGUCCUGGAGCGUGCAUCAUAAUUAAUGUUAAUUGCCUGAUUGAAUGGGAGGCCUACGAAUCCACUAUUAAGUCGCCGGGCUGACAGUCUCCUUUUCGGUCCAUUUCAGGUGUCCUUUUUCAGGAUGAAUUGCCGGAAACUUUAUUGGAGCAUAUUGCGCCUGAAUAAACAUUGGAAAAUGUGUGCUCAUUAUAAAGAUCGCAAUUGCAACAAAUGCUUUAAGUGAAUUAAGCAAGAAUUUGUGUUACUAAAACCUUAUAUUUGUUGAAUAUUUAAAUUGAUUUUAUUCUAUGACUUUUAUCAAAACGUUAAUACCAACAUAAAGUGAUGAGUGCAAAAAUUAA